UGUUAAAAAUUCUAUCUAUUUCUACUGUUAAAAACUAGCAUGGCUAAUAAAACAACCAAAUAAUAACAUGUUGUAUGUUACGUAUACCUCAUUCUGACGUAAAUGAAUUAGUUUUUAACAGUGAAAAUAGAUGAAUUUUUUAACA
rfam:Gossypium hirsutum cultivar TM-1 chromosome 2, whole genome shotgun sequence